rnacentral:rRNA from 1 species
CCUACGGGAGGCAGCAGUGGGGAAUAUUGGACAAUGGGGGGAACCCUGAUCCAGCGACGCCGCGUGAGUGAAGAAGUAUUUCGGUAUGUAAAGCUCUAUCAGCAGGGAAGAAAGAAAUGACGGUACCUGACUAAGAAGCCCCGGCGAACUACGUGCCAGCAGCCGCGGUAAUACGGAGGGGGCAAGCGUUAGCCGGAUGUACGGGGUGUAAAGGGAGCGUAGACGGGGAUGCAAGUCUGAAGUGAAAGGCGGGGGCCCAACCCCCGGACUGCUUUGGAAACUGUAUGGCUGGAGUGCAGGAGAGGUAAGUGGAAUUCCUAGUGUAGCGGUGAAAUGCGUAGAUAUUAGGAGGAACACCAGUGGCGAAGGCGGCUUACUGGACUGUAACUGACGUUGAGGCUCGAAAGCGUGGGGAGCAAACAGGAUUAGAUACCCCGGUAGUC